rnacentral:rRNA from 1 species
UACGAAGGGGGCAAGCGUUGUUCGGAAUUACUGGGCGUAAAGGGCGCGGAGGCGGCUUAUCAAGUCAGGCGUGAAAUUCCCGGGCUCAACCUGGGGGCUGCGCUUGAUACUGAUGAGCUUGAAUGCGGGAGAGGAUAGUGGAAUUCCCAGUGUAGAGGUGAAAUUCGUAGAUAUUGGGAAGAACACCGGGGGCGAAGGUGGCUAUCGGGCGCGUAAUUGACGAUGAGGCGCGAAAGCGUGGGGAGCAAACAGG